rnacentral:rRNA from 1 species
UACAGAGGUCCCAAGCGUUGUUCGGAUUCACUGGGCGUAAAGGGUGCGUAGGCGGUCGGGUAAGUCUGACGUGAAAUCUUCAAGCUCAACUUGGAAACUGCGUCGGAUACUAUUCGGCUAGAGGAAUGGAGGGGGAGACUGGAAUACUUGGUGUAGCAGUGAAAUGCGUAGAUAUCAAGUGGAACACCAGUGGCGAAGGCGAGUCUCUGGACAUUUCCUGACGCUGAGGCACGAAAGCCAGGGGAGCAAACGGG